UCGAACGGUUAAAGCACCUUCGGGUGUAUAUAGAGUGGCGAACGGCUGAGUAACACGUGGGCAACCUGCCCUUUGCAUCGGGACAGCCUCGGGAAACCGUGGUUAAUACCGGAUACUCCAUCUUUCUCACAUGAAAAAGAUGGGAAAGUGUUUAGCGGCAAGGGAUGGGCCCGCGCCCUGUUAGCUUGUUGGUGGGGUAAAAGCCUACCAAGGCAAUGAUGGGUAGCCGGGUUGAGAGACCGACCGGCCAGAUUGGGACUGAGACACGGCCCAGACUCCUACGGGAGGCAGCAGUGGGGAAUCUUGCACAAUGGGCGAAAGCCUGAUGCAGCGACGCCGCGUGCGGGAUGAAGGCCCUCGGGUUGUAAACCGCUUUCAGCAGGGACGAGGCGAAAGUGACGGUACCUGCAGAAGAAGCCCCGGCUAACUACGUGCCAGCAGCCGCGGUAAUACGUAGGGGGCAAGCGUUAUCCGGAUUCAUUGGGCGUAAAGCGCGCGUAGGCUGCCCAGUAGGUCGAGAGUUAAAUCCGGGGGCUCAACCCCCGUCCGCUCCCGAUACCGCUGGGCUUCGAGUCUGGUAGGGGAAGGUGGAAUUCCCAGUGUAGCGGUGGAAUGCGCAGAUAUUGGGAAGAACACCGGUGGCGAAGGCGGCCUUCUGGGCCAUGACUGACGCUGAGGCGCGAAAGCUAGGGGAGCGAACAGGAUU
rnacentral:rRNA from 1 species